rnacentral:rRNA from 1 species
UAUUACAGCCAUAUCACCCUGCAGCCCAAGACCGGUUACUCACUGAAGCCAAGCAGGGCUGAGCCUGGUCAGUACCUGGACGGGAGACCACAUGGGACAACGGAAGUGGUGUCGGUGAGGC